CGGAGGGAUCAUUACAAGUGACCCCGGUUUACCACCGGGAUGUUCAUAACCCUUUGUUGUCCGACUCUGUUGCCUCCGGGGCGACCCUGCCUUCGGGCGGGGGCUCCGGGUGGACACUUCAAACUCUUGCGUAACUUUGCAGUCUGAGUAAACUUAAUUAAUAAAUUAAAACUUUUAACAACGGAUCUCUUGGUUCUGGCAUCGAUGAAGAACGCAGCGAAAUGCGAUAAGUAAUGUGAAUUGCAGAAUUCAGUGAAUCAUCGAAUCUUUGAACGCACAUUGCGCCCCCUGGUAUUCCGGGGGGCAUGCCUGUUCGAGCGUCAUUUCACCACUCAAGCCUCGCUUGGUAUUGGGCAACGCGGUCCGCCGCGUGCCUCAAAUCGACCGGCUGGGUCUUCUGUCCCCUAAGCGUUGUGGAAACUAUUCGCUAAAGGGUGCUCGGGAGGCUACGCCGUAAAACAACCCCAUUUCUAAGGUUGACCUCGGAUCAGGUAGGGAUACCCGCUGAACUUAAGCAUA
rnacentral:rRNA from 1 species